rnacentral:rRNA from 1 species
UACUCGAGCGGCGAACGGGUGAGUAACACGUGAGUAAUCUGCCCCUGGCUUUGGGAUAGCCACCGGAAACGGUGAUUAAUACCGGAUAUGACAUGGACUCGCAUGGGUUUGUGUGGAAAGUUUUUCGGCCAGGGAUGUGCUCGCGGCCUAUCAGCUUGAUGGUGAGGUAAUGGCUCACCAUGGCUUCGACGGGUAGCCGGCCUGAGAGGGUGACCGGUCACACUGGGACUGAGACACGGCCCAGACUCCUACGGGAGGCAGCAGUGGGGAAUAUUGGACAAUGGGCGGAAGCCUGAUCCAGCAACGCCGCGUGAGGGAUGACGGCCUUCGGGUUGUAAACCUCUUUCAGUACCGACGAAGCGCAAGUGACGGUAGGUACAGAAGAAGCACCGGCCAACUACGUGCCAGCAGCCGCGGUAAUACGUAGGGUGCGAGCGUUGUCCGGAAUUAUUGGGCGUAAAGGGCUCGUAGGCGGUUUGUCGCGUCGGGAGUGAAACGCCGUGCUUAACACGGCGCUUGCUUUCGAUACGGGCAGACUAGAGGUAUGCAGGGGAGAACGGAAUUCCUGGUGUAGCGGUGAAAUGCGCAGAUAUCAGGAGGAACACCGGUGGCGAAGGCGG